AUUGAACGCUGGCGGCAGGCCUAACACAUGCAAGUCGAGCGGAUGCAGGGAGCUUGCUCCUGGAUUCAGCGGCGGACGGGUGAGUAAUGCCUAGGAAUCUGCCUGGUAGUGGGGGCUAACGUCCGGACACGGGCGCUAAUACCGCAUACGUCCAGAGGGAGAACGUGGGGGAUCUUCGGACCUCACGCUAUCAGAUGAGCCUAGGUCGGAUUAGCUAGUUGGUGGGGUAAAGGCCUACCAAGGCGACGAUCCGUAACUGGUCUGAGAGGAUGAUCAGACACACUGGAACUGAGACACGGUCCAGACUCCUACGGGAGGCAGCAGUGGGGAAUAUUGGACAAUGGGCGAAAGCCUGAUCCAGCCAUGCCGCGUGUGUGAAGAAGGUCUUCGGAUUGUAAAGCACUUUAAGUUGGGAGGAAGGGCAGUAAGUUAAUACCUUGCUGUUUUGACGGUACCAACAGAAUAAGCACCGGCUAACUUCGUG
rnacentral:rRNA from 1 species